CAGUCGCCACGGUAAUACGUAGGUGGCAAGCGUUGUCCGGAAUUAUUGGGCGUAAAGGGCUCGCAGGCGGUUUCUUAAGUCUGAUGUGAAAGCCCCCGGCUCAACCGGGGAGGGUCAUUGGAAACUGGGAAACUUGAGUGCUGAAGAGGAGAGUGGAAUUCCACGUGUAGCGGUGAAAUGCGUAGAGAUGUGGAGGAACACCAGUGGCGAAGGCGACUCUCUGGUCUGUAAGUGACGCUGAGGAGCGAAAGCGUGGGGAGCGAACAGGAUUAGAUACCCGCGUAGUCCCUGUCUCUUAUAC
rnacentral:rRNA from 1 species